UACAGAGACCUCAAGCGUUAUCCGGAUUUAUUGGGCGUAAAGCGCAGGUAGGCGGGCCUGUUAGUCGUAUGUUAAAGCCCGGGGCUCAACCCCGGAGAUGCAUACGAAACGGCAGGUCUGGAGAAUGUGAGAGAUCAGUGGAAUUGAUGGUGUAGUAGUGAAAUGCGUUGAUAUCAUCAAGAACACCCAAGGCGAAGGCAACUGAUUGGCACACUUCUGACGCUGAGCUGCGAAAGCGUGGGUAGCGAAUGGG
rnacentral:rRNA from 1 species